CCUGUGAUGCUGCUUCUGCCUCUCCAGAGAUGCACUAUACACCUCUGCCUUCCGGAUCCAGAGACCUCACCAAUCACAGAGGCAUUCUGGGGAAAUGUCGCUACAUUUACUACGGAAAACAUUCUGAGGGCAACAGAUUCAUCCGAGAUGACCAGCUAUAAAACACAGUGCUGUGGUGCCUCUUCGAUCCCUCCACAUGAGAAGCACAAAUUGCAUCUAAAUUUUAAGCGUGUAACUGAAGUCCUCUAGUGCCUUCUGCUGACUUUGCCAAGCCUGUCAAGAUCAUCCUUCUAUCUUAGUCUGAGUAGUCACAUAGAGAUUGACAUGAUUGCCUUUAAGCAGGUUCCAUCCACCAGUGUGACAGACAGCUGCAGCCGAGCACCCGGCCUGACAGGAGGAGCACUGUGAUGGAUUGCCUGGUCCAAUUGCUGCUCCAGAAGAGCAGGGGUCACACCUGGGGCUGCAGUGAGCAUGCUCCAGCGCUCGGCGCCUCCGCAAACGCAGCGCGUUUAUCUCCGGCUUGCCUGUUGAGAGAAAGUGGCUGCUGAUAUCAAAGUGUUUAUAAAAGAGGGAGGCUGUAAUUUCAGAUGAAAAAGCCCUUAUCUGUUCUUAUUUUUUUCCCUGUGAAUUAAGUGCUUGUGUUUCUGUCAUCUCAUACAUGCCUACACAAAUCCGUUCACGGUUUGGUAGGACCCCACUCACCCCUAAAUGAUCCUAGGCAGGUUAUUUUGUCUUUCAACGGGGGAAAAAUAUAUCCUGAAAAUAUUUUGGCCAUGCAAAGUACUAUUGAUUUGUAUAGUUGUUUAUAUGCAAAGGAAAAAAGAUUUAAGUAAUUUCCCAGACAAACAAAAUUUGCUAAUUCUUAAAUUACAUCUCAACAUUUACUCACUCUUACCUUCAGAAAAGUGAACAUUUCUUAAUGCUGGCACAGCUUAACUGUAUAUGCUUGGAAGAAGCCCUCAUUAGUGAUAUUGACAAUGUGCAUUAUUCCUGGUUUGUUGAACAAGAUAUUUUUAACUUUUAGGGACUAUGUUUAGAAUUAAAUGCUUAAAUCUAAGUAGGGGGGGAAAGUGCCUAAAAGGAGUGAUAUAAUCUGCCACCAGAUGCAUAGGAUUAUUCAGAGGGGAGAAAAAUCAACAAAAGUAAACAUAAUUAGCAGCUUUACUAAUAUAGAGAGACAAGUUCUGAAUAAUCCCUUUUGAUGUCUACGUAGGAAAGGCUAUUGUCAAAUUUUCAGUCAGAAAAAUAAAAAUUCAUGGCAAAUUUCCUACUUUUCUGAUAACGAGGUUGAAUAUAUUAGAAUCAUGAACUCGUUACUGUGAAAAAAGUCCCAUACUUCAUGCAUAUAUUAAGUGCUACUAGAUACAAUGUGAUUGUCCAAGGAAUAUGCAAAAAUUCUGACCUCUGGACUGUUCCAAACCCAUGCAUAUUGGUCCCAGUUGAGAGCUAUCACUGCCUAGCUGUUCUUGGUUUGUUUAAAAUUGCUUGGUGGCCUUUAUUCACUUUCCUGGUUGAAAAAAAAUGUCAGUUUUUAGAAACUGCCUACUUUGGGGGUCUAUUAUCAGCUAGUGUUACAGGUGGAAGUGAACUGGACAUUGAAGUCAAUUGUGAAAUUGGGUUUGACUGAUGAAAUAGAAUGAGACACUGGCAGAGUGCCAAAGGAAAGCUUGCUGCUGCUGAGCAUGUUAGGCCUUACUCAGUAAAUGGAAGCCUUUGCUCAUUCUGAAAGUCUAUAAUAAAUCUUUAACAGAUAUUUAAAGUCAGUGAUGAACGUAGAACAAUCUAGUUCACACCACUUAGGGUUCAAAUUGAGCUCUGAGCUGUUUGCCAUGCAAAUUGGUGUCUGUAAAGCACAUUUUGGCCACCUACAGUGCCUCUUCUAAUGUCAUGUGACUACAAAUGAAAUGCCAAUUCACUUUAGAAGUCCUAGGAGAUAUUGGAUAAAUGAAAACUACAUGCCUCUUUCUUUAAUCAAAAAUAUAAUUAGAAAUAUUUAGGGCACUUGUCCUUUCUCUUGGUUACCAAAAUAACAGCAGUCCUAGUUUGCUCCUAUUAUGUUGUCCGUUUUGAAGUCUCCACACAUUUUGGCCAUGGCAAUAUUACAGGCAGCAGGGUUCUGAGCAGGGGUGUUUGGAAUAACCUAAUGUCACUUUCAGUCUGGUUGCAUAUAUGUUCUUGUCUUUAUAAAGGCUUUAACCCUGCCUCAAACAAUAAACAGCACUUGCAAACUGA